AUUCUGCUGGAUAUAAAUGCUUGUCAAUGGAUACCGACAUCGUUCUUGAAUUUUUUUUAUUUUUUUUAUCCCAUAUGAACACAAAAUAUCAGUUUUAUAGGUUCUUUCCCAGUUUGUAUUUUGCUUGUUGCUUGUCUUGUCCUUGCAGAGCAGGUAGUUGUGACCUUUCAGCCAGAGAUGGAAACGGCAAAGAUGCUCAAUGCUAGUCACCGUGUUCGUCAUCUAGUUGUUUAGCUGCGCCAUUUGGCUGCCUUUUGCACUGAUCCGUGGAUCUAUGGGCCGUAUUGGUCGAUGGCGGGUUUCAUCUCUCCUCUCACGUUCUCAGUGACUCCUGGAAUGGCAUCCGGUCAUCCAGAGAGUCGCUGUCCAAGUCUUGUCGUCAGGGAGAGUAUGCACAUUACACAAGAUGAAACACCACCAUGAAUACACUGGGCUUUAAUUACGUCGACACGUUCACUCAUUCACAUACUCACUCACACACGAGUCGAACACUGUAACGGACACCAUUUCUAGUAAAGAGGUCCACGCUAUAGUCCUAGGUUUCAGUACUGUGUGUCGCAUAGGAGAGUGUUCAAUGGUGGGGAGAUUCCCGAAUCAUAGAUUGGUGUGUUGUAUUGGACUGGGAGUGAUGGUGUUCAUGAUUGGUUGACUUUGGGUUGCGGUUGAGAAGUUUGUGAUUGUGGCAAGAGAGAUUCCCAGGGUGUACUGUAUGGGCUUGGUGGGAUUUGCUCACUUCUAAGUUGGUUGCCCAUCAGGGAUGUGUUUGUGUGUUUUGGGUCUGUGUGUUUCAUAGAAUGUCUUUCAAUUGCAAUUGUAACGAGGCUUGGUGUUCCGGUAGAAUAGGUGCGCUGGGCAAUGUUGUUGGGAAUCUUUUUUUCAGGUCCAUGGCUAGUUGUUCUGACCUUGUAGUCGAUGUGUGCCUGGUCUUGUGCUAGAGUUCUGAAGUUUGAUGCAAAUAUUAAUUGUAUCGAUGUAAGCUUGUAUACAUUUGCCCGUCUACUCACACACUGCAUCUUCUGAGGAAGAACUUGGACCUCAGGCAUGACCAACUUGGGAGACUGUGGACCCUCUGCACCGUUAAAAGGGUGAUAGUUUUGUUACAGAGCCAACAAUUCGCACUUCAUCAGCUUCUUGUGAGCUAUGGGCGCUUUUAUAUAAGAGUAUGAUUUGUUGGGUUGACCUCAUGGGGGCCUUGUUCUUAGAGGUGCAUCUCCACUGUAGUGCUCUGGUUCUUCUCAACACCUGAAUAACGGGGAGUUGUACGUUACAUUGCAUUUUGCAGGCACAUAGGCCUUGCUUGUCUGGCUUACAUUGUCACCGUUGCCUGAUAGAUUUGCACGAGGGCUUGUGGCGCAGGUACAUCAGUAUUGUGGUGUGUCGUCAGUGCAAAUGCGGGGUUCGUGUGCUGGUAGUUUCCAGACAUUUUGACUUUAUGGUUUCGUGGACAGCAGUAUGCUCGUGAUAAAUGAUUGUGUUUGAAAUGUCGUGAUGACUGUAGGCUUAUUAUUGAUCAUUAGGAAGUAAGUUGCAUGCUUAGGAGCCGGGGGCUUGUUCUUGUUUUCUUGACCGUGUACAUAAAGAACAUGAGCCCUGGGCGAUAAAGCUCUGGUGUCUGGGACAGGGUGAGCUGAAUAAGCCUACCACAUCAUGUAAACGUUGGCUGUAACAUGACUAGAUCACAGACCACUGAGGGCUGGCCAUCACCCUGGGGUUGGAUACAUGUACUUGGUCUGCGUCAGCGAUAUUGUCGCUGAUCUUUCAGCUCCAGUACGCCCGGACUUAAUAAUGUUUCCCUCUGCCCGCUGGCUUGUAGUCGUGCCCCCAAUAAUGUCGUGUCCCAGACGUCAGACUGGGUCGUUCCUUGUCUUUGAGCAAUCUGGUUGCGUUCUUAGAAAAUAGUCCUACUGGAUUGCAUCCACGCACUAUUACAUACCCAUGUAGCUACAAGUUUCGCUAAAUGUCCACUAACACCACCAGUUACUUGACAAUCAGUUUACGCAAGAACAUUGCACUGCACUGACCACGAUACUGACGUUCUACAACUUACUGGCUAUCAGCUCUAGCCCGUCUUGGAUGCGCACUCCAACGGCCUUCCGCCUUACAGUAGGCGCGCGACCAAGAACGUUGUUUCCAAGGGGUUAGCCUGGGACGUUUUUAUUUUUUCAGCAAUCUGACUGCGUUCUUACAGCAUGUUCUUAGAAACAGUGUGUAUUGGAUCAUAAUAUUCUACAAGCUGCCAGAAAACUAA